rnacentral:piRNA from 1 species
UCGUAGGCCACCGUGUGGACUUCUGCUCAU